rnacentral:rRNA from 1 species
CCAAUAGCGUAUAUUAAAGUUGUUGCAGUUAAAAAGCUCGUAGUUGAAUUUCGGGGUCAGUAGGUCGGUCGUGCCACUGGUAUGAACUGGUUUCACUGAUUCCUCCCUCUUGUAGAACCGUGAUGCCAUUAAUUUGGUGUUGCGGGGAAACAGGACUGUUACUUUGAAAAAAUUAGAGUGUUUAAAGCAAGCUAACGCUUGAAUACAUUAGCAUGGAAUAAUGAAAUAGGACGUCGAUCUUAUUUUGUUGGUUUCUAGGGUUGACGUAAUGAUUAAUAGGGAUAGUUGGGGGCAUUAGUAUUCAAUUGUCAGAGGUGAAAUUCUUGGAUUUAUUGAAGACUAACUACUGCGAAAGCAUUUGCCAAGGAUGUUUUCAUUAAUCAAGAACGAAAGUUAGGGGAUCGAAGACGAUCAGAUACCGUCGUAGUCUUAACCAUAAACUAUGCCGACUAGGGAUCGGAUGAUGUUAAUUUUUUAAUGACUCAUCCGGCGCCUUACG